rnacentral:rRNA from 1 species
AGAACGAACGCUGGCGGCGUGGAUAAGACAUGCAAGUCGAACGCGACUUAUUUUGUUAGCAAUAACGAAGUAAGUUGAGUGGCGAAAGGGUGCGUAACACGUGGGAAUUUACCAAAAAGUGGGGAAUAGCUUGGCGAAAGCCAAAUUAAUACCGCAUGUGGUCGCAAGACCAAAGCCGGGGACCGCAAGGCCUGGCGCUUUUUGAGAAGCCCGCGGCCCAUCGGCUAGUUGGUGAGGUAAAAGCUCACCAAGGCUAUGACGGGUAGCUGGUCUGAGAGGACGACCAGCCACACUGGAACUGAGACACGGUCCAGACACCUACGGGUGGCAGCAGUCGAGAAUUUUUUCACAAUGGACGAAAGUCUGAUGGAGCGACGCCGCGUGGAGGAUGAAGGUUUUCGGAUUGUAAACUCCUGUCACUGCAGACAAGGCUAUGCGAUUGAACAUUUCGUGUAGUU